CAGGGGCAGGGGAAAGAAUUUGGCUCCAGAUUCUAAAACCAUGCCUUCGUACAUCUGAUGAAUGUCGGGAAAGGGCCAGGGGAACUAGAACAAUCGUGGCUGAGCUAAGCACAUACUGCGAUGUUAUCAGAGCCCUUGAGAUACCCUUAAAUGUAUUGGCCAUCACUCCUUGUAGCAGUGCCAGGCCCACUCAAACUAUGA